UCCAGGGUAUAGCCAGGUACAGGUCCUAGCUUCAUGUGUACUUCUGGCUUUGUGCUCAUGUACACCCUGGGAGGAAAUGACUCCAAGUGCUCGGGUCCUGCCACCAAUGUGGGAAACCCACACUGAGUCUGGGGUUCCUGGCUUCAGCCAGGCUCUGACUCUUACAGGCUUUUGGGGAGUGAGCCAGCAAAUGGAAGAUCUUCUCUUUCACUCUGCCUUUCCAGUAAAGAUAAAUUUUUAAAGCAACUAUUAGUUUUAAGAAGGAAAAUACAGAUAGUUAGGAAUGAAACCAGAACUGUGAGAAUUUACUAUUUUCAAUAGUGCUUCAGAGAGCUCCCAUUUGAAGUAUGUAACCAAGCUACAGAUGAAACAUGUUUUCUUGACAUGGUUUCUUUUAAUAAAAAAUACAGCUGAACAUUUGUCACAGAUUACAUGAAACUAUACACAAUGACAUUCUCUGCAUAGUAACCAACACUGAUGUGUGUACUUGAAUUUUUAAAUGGAUUAUUUAUAAUCCUUUAAAGUGCAAUUUAUUUAAGCAAAUCAUAAGAUAAAUGAUCUUUCUAAUAAAUGAGUGACAUUAAAAAGGUGAUGUUCUUGAAUAAAUUUUUAAAAAAUCAGAACUGAUUUCUGUAGAUGUCUAAUUGACUUGUCACAGUGACCCACAAUGCCCUGACCCAAACCCCAAAGUUGAUUUUAUUACUGAGGAUUAAAAAGAUCCUCUGUAACUGGUCAGAGUUUUUUCUGAUGUGAACUUUUUUUUCCGACUGUUCCAGGACAUCCUAACUAAAUAGAACAAGGGGUCUGGAGUAGUUACUGAGCAGCCCUGAGUUCUAGAACCUCAAUGGUCUCCUGUUGGAAACUAGGAGACUCCCCGUGCUUUUUGAAAGGGUAGGACUUGACUGCUUCUCUGACUCAGCAACACAAACUAUGAUAUGGACCACAAUGUAGAAGAUGAAACUGAAAAGUUGCAGAAAAUAGGAGUUACCUAAGAAACAACCAGAAAAUGCUUUAGAGAAGUGAACUAUGAGAGGAACCUUGCUAGGAGCUGUCUGAGGGGGGAAGGGAGGGACUGUGUGUGAUGCAAAGGUCAUUCACUAUCACCAUGGUCUUUGCUUUUCUUUCCAUUUACUUUUGUUGGGUGAAAAUAUUGAUUUCAAUAGUCUGCUGCCUCAAAAAGAUGCCCAUGAGAGGAGGAACAAGACCCCCCAGACAUUGGUCAUCAAGGAGCAAAAACAAACAAACAAAAAAGACUCCUUGAACAAGGCAGCAGUGCUGGACUGAUUGACUGAAGGUGAGUUCC